rnacentral:piRNA from 1 species
UAAGGAUUGCUACUCUUUGAUGUGUCC